rnacentral:rRNA from 1 species
CCUACGGGGGGCUGCAGUGGGGAAUAUUGGACAAUGGGGGCAACCCUGAUCCAGCCAUGCCGCGUGUGUGAAGAAGGCCCUCGGGUUGUAAAGCACUUUCAGUGAGGAAGAACGCCUGGUGGUUAAUACCCAUCAGGAAAGACAUCACUCACAGAAGAAGCACCGGCUAACUCCGUGCCAGCAGCCGCGGUAAUACGGAGGGUGCGAGCGUUAAUCGGAAUUACUGGGCGUAAAGCGCGCGUAGAUGGCUUGAUAAGCCGGUUGUGAAAGCCCCGGGCUCAACCUGGGAACGGCAUCCGGAACUGUCAAGCUAGAGUGCAGGAGAGGAAGGUAGAAUUCCCGGUGUAGCGGUGAAAUGCGUAGAGAUCGGGAGGAAUACCAGUGGCGAAGGCGGCCUUCUGGACUGACACUGACACUGAGGUGCGAAAGCGUGGGUAGCAAACAGGAUUAGAUACCCCGGUAGUC